UCUGCCCCAUUCUUUGCAGUUCACCCUAACUGAGUGACCUCAGGACUCCAGUCACAGAUGGGUCUGAACCAAACGCUUGGGUCAGAGGUUUUGUCUGAAUAAGCAGCUGAAAGUUUAGAUGCUUUAUCUGUACUAUCCAUAUCUCUUAUGUCUUUAAGACUGGCCUGGAAAUCUUGGGGAAACCCCCUCAGCUAUCUUACAGGAUUUCUGGUCCCUGCUAGAUCCCUGAAAUGCCAAUGUCAGAGGAAUAACUGAGAUGAAGCCUUGGGGAAAUGCAAACAAAGAAGAGUACUAACUUCAAAGCAAGGGCAUUGUGUUCAACAAUGGAAAAUCACAAACUCAGUCCGUAUUUCUUACUCAUCAAAACCCACGUGGGUGAAGACACUGUUCAGGUUAUUUUCUGGAGAAGAUUAAAAAUGGAUUUCAUGGAAAGAUCUUGUAUUUCUGAACAGUUUGGACACUUACAGGGAAGCAUUCCAGAUGCAAGGCAGAGAUCCCCAUUGUUAUUCUGGGUGACCCUGAGAGACUUUUGGAAAGAUAGCAGAUUACUACAUUUGGAUUUACAAACUCUGACUCACCUGUUAAUGUAUUUUACCUGCUUUAACCUCUCAAUAACGCUCAUUUCUUUUCUUAGCUUAUAAAUCUUUAGUUAGUUUACCAGA